UUUAUGGAGUGGUGGAUUAUGGUAUAAUAUAGUUGAUGGCAGGUGUGAUAUUCACCGAGUCCUGGAUGAUGGCCGUCCGCAUAGACUGGCACAGUCACGGCUUUGACGUGCAGCCUUCCAACCGUUCAGGUAAGCCGAAGCAGGUGACGCGUCCAAGGACAGACGUUCACCGCACGGGCAGACAUGUUGGUGACACCAGACCCAAACGUUGUGGGAACAUGACGUAUUUACGUGAUCUACCGAGGGUUAGUCUCGUGAUGACAUUCACCUCUGAGAACAUCUCGACCCUCCUCUGGAGUCUCCACAGUCUUCAGCAGGGAACACCUGGAAUUCUGGUAGCUGACACCAUACUGGUACACAUGCCUAGUCCUUCAC